GAUGAAGAACGUAGUGAAAUGCGAUAAGUAGUGUGAAUUGCAGAUGUAACGUGAAUCAUCGAAUCUUUGAACGCAAAUUGCACUCUCUGGUAUUCCGGGGAGUAUGCCUGUUUGAGGGUCGCCAAAUCAACAUCGAAAUUCAUUUGCUUUUGUAAAUGUUUAUCGGAUUUGAGCCGUCUUUUUAUAUUCUUUUAAAGUGGCUUAAAAUGUAUUUUUUGGUAUCGAAAAACGUUAUUUUACGAUCAAAAUUGAUUAAAAAACAAACGUUUCGAAUGCCAUCUUUUAAUGUAAUACGUUUGACUGUGGUGUUAAUCAUAGUUUUCAUUCGUAUACGAUUUUUUAAUUUUUGACCUCAAAUCAGGUAAGAACACCCGCUGAACUUAAGCAUAUCAAUAAGCGGAGGA
rnacentral:misc_RNA from 1 species